rnacentral:rRNA from 1 species
UACGAAGGGGGCUAGCGUUGCUCGGAAUUACUGGGCGUAAAGCGCACGUAGGCGGCUUUCUAAGUCGGGGGUGAAAGCCUGUGGCUCAACCACAGAAUGGCCUUCGAUACUGGGACGCUUGAGUAUGGUAGAGGUUGGUGGAACUGCGAGUGUAGAGGUGAAAUUCGUAGAUAUUCGCAAGAACACCGGUGGCGAAGGCGGCCAACUGGACCAUUACUGACGCUGAGGAGCGAAAGCGUGGGGAGCGAACAGG